AAUUGUGCGAAUAUGAGAGAUCGCGUAACUGCGUUUUCUUACAUAAUGGGACGUACCGUGAGUACGAUAUCUUUCAAAGGCAAUUAUCGACUCGACUAGAGUUAAUUUUUGCUUUAGAUCACAGACAUCGUCUCGUAAGCGCGUCGUAAAAUCUACUAGCCGUGAGGUGAACGAUUUUACAGCGGUUCGUUCAUCUGUCAAACAAAACACACCAGUUUUGAAAUGAGAUCUUGCAUCUCGAGCCGAUAGCGAAAGCUUACGGUGUACUAAUUGUAACCACGCAUGAAAUACAUGAUUUCGCAACGUCCGCAAUCUUAACCGAUAUACGGACUGUUCGAAACUUGUAUAAUAUAUAUAAAAUCACCC
rnacentral:misc_RNA from 1 species